GGUCAUUCAAUAAAUAAGGUGAAUUUUUCAGUAUAAAGACUUCGAAUACACAUAGAAGCUUACUUUUUUUUUUCUUCUUCAAACUAGUCUUUCAGCACUGUCACAGACGUUUCCCAUCUGUGCACAAGCUUCCAUAUUCCCGCAGCGUCAAAAUCUUUGGACUGAUGUCCCAGCCAGUCGCUCACAACACUUUUGACUUCAUCGUCACUUUCAAACUUGCCCAAACGGUGCAGACCAUCCGCAAGCUGGGCUGGGAACUGCUCCCUCAUCUCCCUCACAGCCCACAUCUCGGGCCUUAAGACUUUCACCU